AAAUAGUUUUAAAAGUUUUUGUCCUAAAAAACACACACAUCAGGAGUUUAAAAUGACCAGGCUCUAAAAUGGAUGCAGAUGUUUUGUUUGAAUUCUAAAAAUGGUAAUAUGUAGCUGCAUUUUGACUGUUUGUAUGACCUCUUUAGGUGCCCAAAUAUUCUUGAUCAGACCCCAACCUACCAACCAACUGCUCUUGCAGAGGCUCUAACCAAUCAUGUCAAACGAUUCACAGUCACCACAUUCCAGUUCCUGUCUGAGGAUACCAAUGUGGAAGCAGAUGAGGAGGUAAAAUAUGGCUCUGGAGAUGCUUGUAAAACUUGAUAUCCUCUGAGCCCAGAACAUGUCAUCUUCAAAUGUCACUUUGGCUUUAUCUUGUCACAGAUUUAUUUUAUGUGCUCAACGGAGGUUUGCCUGCCCUCAGAAGGUCCAUGUGUUGAGGGCUGCUUUGCAGAUCCCUCUAGCAUGACGUCUUGAAAGAAGACAGGAGUUGGAAAACACUUAAUUAAAUAUUACCUUUUGUUCUGUUUGACUCAUGUACACAUUAAAAUUGACAAACAAGC